GUGCUUGCGUUGGCAGCAUAUAUACUAAAAUUGGAAUGAUACAGAGAUGAUUAGCCAUGUGCUUUCAGAUGAAGAUAAAACAUGGUUAGGUUCUCAAGUUCUUU